GAGGUGCACUACUAGACUGGGAUUUUUUUGUGCUUGCAAGAAUGAAGUAGCUUACUCGACAAGAAAAGACAAUGGGGUAAUAAUAUAAAAUGGCACCGCCCUUAUUAACAACUGGCCACCUCAAAGUAGUGUAAAAUCAUAAAGUGGUCCUCCAAUCUCUCCAUGAGUGCCACAUCAUCACGCUUCAUUUCAUGAUUCCCUAGGCCCUCCUCAAAGGGCAUU
rnacentral:lncRNA from 1 species